CCCGAUUUUCUUCUUAUUUUUUCCUUCUCUCCAUUCUCUAAUCUAGCUCUAACCAGCAGUGACUCUGGCGAUUCCGGCGCAGUAAAUUUCUCUCUACAUCGCUCUUCUUCAUUCCCCUCUCUAUCUCUCUCUUUCUCCAUUCUUUUUUUCCCCAUCACUCUCUCUCUCUCUCUCUCUCCAUCCCUCUUAUUCUUCAAUAUGACAAUUACAGGCGGACUCCGAUGGCUUAUUCCGACGGCGGCGACAACAUUGAGUUUUGAGCCGCUCGGAGGUCACUACGUGCAUGAUGGCAUCAUUGGAGCAUCGCUUGGCUUGCUCGGUAUUGGAAUUUGGUUUGUUCGAGGUGGUUCCAUACCAGGCAGUGUUGGUCGCAACUGGUGACGCAUCUC